rnacentral:rRNA from 1 species
AUGAACGCUAGCGGCAAGGCCUAAACACAUGGCAAGUUCGAGGGGUAGCAGAAUUAAGCUUGCUUAAUUGCUGACGACCGGCGCACGGGUGCGUAACGCGUAUGCAACCUACCUUAUACUGGGGUAUAGCCCGGAGAAAUUCGGAUUAAUCCCCCAUAGUACUGUUUGAUCGCAUGGUCAGACAGUUAAAGCAUUGCGGUAUAAGAUGGGCAUGCGUCCUAUUAGCUAGAUGGUGAGGUAACGGCUCACCAUGGCUACGAUAGGUAGGGGGCCUGAGAGGGUGGUCCCCCACACUGGUACUGAGACACGGACCAGACUCCUACGGGAGGCAGCAGUGAGGAAUAUUGGUCAAUGGGCGCAAGCCUGAACCAGCCAUGCCGCGUGCAGGAAGAAUGCCCUAUGGGUUGUAAACUGCUUUUAUUUGGGAAUAAACCUCUUUACGUGUAGAGAGCUGAAGGUACCAAAUGAAUAAGCACCGGCUAACUCCGUG